rnacentral:tRNA from 1 species
GGAGGGAUGGCAGAGCGGUUUAAUGCACCGGUCUUGAAAACCGGAGAGGCGCAAGCCUUCGUGGGUUCGAAUCCCACUCCCUCCG